rnacentral:sRNA from 1 species
UGUAUCUGAAGUCUGACGAGGAUGAGAACCUCCGGGGGCAAGAGGUUCGACCCGAGCGAAGCGAGAGAACGUUGCGUCAGCAACGGCCCGCA